UACGAACCGUGCGAACGUUGUUCGGAAUCACUGGGCUUAAAGGGCGCGUAGGCGGGUCGCAAAGUCAGGGGUGAAAUCCUCCAGCUUAACUGGAGAAGUGCCUUUGAUACUGGCGGUCUCGAGGAAGGUAGGGGCAUGCGGAACUGAUGGUGGAGCGGUGAAAUGUGUUGAUAUCAGCAGGAACUCCGGUGGCGAAAGCGGCGUGCUGGACCUUUUCUGACGCUGAUGCGCGAAAGCCAGGGGAGCAAACGGG
rnacentral:rRNA from 1 species